GGCUUAGUAGUAUAGCUUGGUUAUCACGCCCGAAUGAAUGCUCUGGGAGACUAUAGGUUCAAAUCCCAUCUGGGCUU